CAGUCGCCGCGGUAAUACGUAGGGUGCAAGCGUUAAUCGGAAUUACUGGGCGUAAAGCGUGCGCAGGCGGUUUGUUAAGACAGAUGUGAAAUCCCCGGGCUCAACCUGGGAACUGCAUUUGUGACUGGCAAGCUAGAGUCUGGCAGAGGGGGGUGGAAUUCCGCGUGUAGCAGUGAAAUGCGUAGAUAUGCGGAGGAACACCGAUGGCGAAGGCAGCCCCCUGGGCCAACACUGACGCUCAUGCACGAAAGCGUGGGGAGCAAACAGGAUUAGAUACCCGAGUAGUCCCUGUCUCUUAUAA
rnacentral:rRNA from 1 species